rnacentral:rRNA from 1 species
UACAGAGGGUGCAAGCGUUGUUCGGAAUUAUUGGGCGUAAAGGGCACGUAGGCGGUUCGGCAAGUCUCUAGUGAAAUCUCUGGGCUCAACUCAGAGUCUGCUGGGGAAACUGCCGGGCUUGAGUGUGGGAGAGGAGAGUGGAAUUCCCGGUGUAGAGGUGAAAUUCGUAGAUAUUAGGAAGAACACCAGUGGCGAAGGCGGCUCACUGGCCCGGUACUGACGCUGAGGCGCGAAAGCGUGGGGAGCAAACAGG